CUUUUCUUAGCUGUUUUAGUCAAUAUGUUGUUAUCCCGCAUUUAGGCAGUUAUUUAUUUAGGCCUGUGUUUGAUACUUUGUUGCAACGGGUAGCUAUCUGCUGACGUGUCACUCCAUUUACAAACUUUUAUCCUCAUCCUGUUACGACACGUUGUUUUGUUGUGCUAAUAUGUAGCCGUAAACUCAUUGGUGUCUGUAGGAGCUGCAGCCCUGCACACAUAUCAGGACACUUUUCAAGAACAGCUGAGAGGUGUAGGCUACUACUAAGCGAGAGGUCAACUAUGGAUACUCGGCUGUGAGAAUUUUUGAUGGAGCGAAACUUGAAGAUGAGAAUAUUGAUGAAACUGUCAUUCCGUUAAUGACAGACAGUGACCUGGCAAAGUACAUCCCCAAAGUUGGAGAUAGAGUCUCCACUGUGGCUUUCUGCCGACAAGCAUCACUGUCACAAAACUCACAAUCCAGGAAAGAAUCCAUACUCUCAAGGCGACGACAAAGACUGUCUUGAGCUGAGGGGAUGCCACCAAAAAAGAGAACAUCUAAGUGGGCAGGAAAUACAAAUGCCAAAUGGAAGGUGAGAUGAAUUGAGGUUGGCUGGAUGGAUUUUGAUGAGGAGGAGGAGAGGUUCAAACAGGUGAAGUCUGUAAGUGGUGGAGGGACGAGGCAUCUCUCGAUUGACAAAGACGAAACAGUGGCAAAUAUCAAACUUAUGGCUGAAAAUCUUUUUUCCCCAAAGGCCUUUCAAAAAAAAGCAGAAGUCUUUCACACUUCAACUCAUAUUGAGAGCUCACAGAUACAUGUUGAUAUGUCCAAUACAGUAGACCAGUUGUAUAAUCAAAGCAAGGUCAAAAUUCUGCGACUUUAUCUGUGCACCAAAAAGAAAACAGGACAGCAGCCCUCAGGAGUUGAGGUGAUCACGCAUCAAGCCAGCCCUCAGUGGUAGAUCUCACUAACAAUGAACAGAAACAGUGAAUCACAGUGAAGGAGCUUCUAAACUUUCCAGAGGAGAUGACAGCAGCCCAGUCAACAGUUUGUCGUUACCUGAAAAGGUACAUUGGGGAAAUUGAUAGCAACAAGCUUCAGCUUUUCCUGCGGUUUUGUACAGGAUCUGAUCUGUUGGAUAAGGCUAUACUAAUUGAGUUCAUAGAAACCACAGAUUUUCUCCGCAGACCACAAUCCCACACAUGUGGAUGUGUACUAAAGCUGCCAUUGGUUACUACAGCUAUCCAGAUUUCCACAGCGAAUUUAACAGCAUUCUCACAAGCUUAAUGCGGAUAUGGGAUGUGGUGUAGGUAAUAAUACAAACAAUAACAUGAAGGAUGUGACAGCUCCUUGCUAGACUGGAUGUUUUUGUUAUGUAGCCCGUUGUUCCUUUUGUAUGUGCAGCAUUUUAAUUCAUCUGCUUUUAAAGUGGUCGAUUUGUUCUUUCCCAGUCAAAUGGUAAGCUUAAAGGGAUAGUUCAGUGGGGCUGUAGGAGAUACGUUUGCUUAGUCAGUGUAUUACCUGUAGUAGACAGCACUCAGCACUCUCCGGGUUUGUAGAAGCAGAGGAGUGCUGGGACAGAAGCAGAGCAAUGCAUUGCUGGGCAUGGGGACAGCAACACAGCAACAAACAUAUUUUAGUCACCUAAAACAAGUCCCACCUCAAAAGAAUACACCAGGUUAUCUGUACACUGUAUUAGGAAUAUUUUCAGUGCUUCACCUGGUGGGAAAACUGUUGUUUCCUUUGACACUAACCAUAAAACUCCCAUAUGCCUACGCCUAAAGUGCAUCUGUGCCUGAUGCACACUGUAUUACUCCAGUUAGUGCCAAAAGAAACAACUACUUUAUGAGCAGUCGUACAGCUCCACUUCAAAUACCAAAAGCCAAUUGAUUAAGCAUGUUUUAUAUUAUUAUUACAGUUGUUUGUAGCAACCCCAGUAGAAACAAGAAUGUGAGCCUUAGCUGAUGUUUCAAAGGUGUUGAAAAAUAAUUCAGUUGUUUACAGAAGUUGUUUACACUUUAAAUAAGUUUAAAUAACAUUAUUUUGUACCUAUCACUAUGAUACUGGCUAACAGGAGGAUUGAAAACUGUUCUUAUCCUGUUAUGUGCAAAAUACAACCUGUUCUGUUUUUGACUAGGGUGUAUUUUAAGAAAAAAAAAGACCAGUAAAGCAUUCAAGUUUGUACAAAAUGUUGAUGUCCUGUCUCUCUUAUAUUCUAUACAUCUUUACUUAUUUCACACCUCACUCUCUAGUGUUAUAAAUGUGCUGUGAUUUGUUAUGAAAGACACAGUUCUUUAUCAAACAUUGGAUUCUUUUAAUCUCUUCCACAAAAACAAAAACAGGCUCAGGAAACAUAUGGAGCAUUGAUGAUACACUAUACAGUAGCCUACUUGGUCUUCUUGUCUAAUUGAUCAUAACAUUAGGUUUAUGAUAUCAUUGCCAGUCUAUGUUGUUGCUGCAUCGUUUAUGUUUUGACCAGUGUUGCCAACUCCUCAGUAAGGAAAGUAGCUAUUGGCUGUCCUAAAAGUCGCUAGAAGUCGCUAAAUGAUGUCAUCGUCUAAUUUGCAUAAUUUCCCGUUUGCAUGUAA